CAGGAAGAUAAUGGGUAAUAACAGCCUUGC
rnacentral:piRNA from 1 species